CAAGCUACUUCAAGUAAUGUGACAAACCAAAUAAGCAGCGCAAGCCUGUGCUACCUAGGUGAUGGAUUUGUUUAGUUCCUUAUUGCUGAGAUGAUCAGAACUGGAAGAAAGGAACACUCAGAGACAGGUACUGUUCUGUGAGAAGACUGAGAACUCUGCUUUAAAGGGGCUUGUUUUUGUCAGUGAUGGCGCUUCAGGAUACAGAAUUUAUGGCCACUUUGUACUCCAAGGAGACAGAAAAGUUACUUUCUUAACAAAGUGUCAUGACUGCAGCUACAAUGAUGAUUUCCUGGAAUGUCUGGGGCAUCAACACUCCAACUAAAAGAACAAAG